rnacentral:tRNA from 1 species
AACAGAAUGCCUGAAAAAGGGUUAUUUUGAUAGAAUAAAUUAUGUAAUAAAAAUUACUUCUGUUA